UACGGAGGGUGCAAGCGUUAUCCGGAUUCACUGGGUUUAAAGGGAGCGCAGGCGGAUUUGUAAGUCAGUGGUGAAGGCUUAAGCUUAACUUGGGAACUGCCAUUGAUACUAUAAGUCUUGAAUGUUGUUGAGGUUUGCGGAAUGGGUCAUGGUAGCGGUGAAAUGCAUAGAUAUGACCGGAACACCUAUUGCGAAGGCAGCAGGCUAAACAAAUAUUGACGCUGAGGCUCGAAAGCGUGGGGAUCAAACAGG
rnacentral:rRNA from 1 species